rnacentral:rRNA from 1 species
UACGAAGGGGGGCUAGCGUUGCUCGGAAUCACUGGGCGUAAAGGGUGCGUAGGCGGGUUUUUAAGUCAGAGGUGAAAUCCUGGAGCUCAACUCCAGAACUGCCUUUGAUACUGAAAGUCUUGAGUAUGGGAGAGGUGAGUGGAACUGCGAGUGUAGAGGUGAAAUUCGUAGAUAUUCGCAAGAACACCAGUGGCGAAGGCGGCUCACUGGCCCGAUACUGACGCUGAGGCACGAAAGCGUGGGGAGCAAACAGG